CCUCUCAUAGUUUUUAGUGGUCAGAACAUUGGUGUGUAAAGCCAAAGGUCCCAGGUUCGACUCCCGGCGCGGGGG
rfam:Agrilus planipennis Contig4255, whole genome shotgun sequence.